CAUGGAUAGCUCAAGGGUAGAGCACUAGACUCAUAAUCUAGGUGUUGCGGGUUCGAUCCCCGCUCCAAA
rnacentral:tRNA from 1 species